GAUGAACGCUGGCGGCGUGCCUAAUACAUGCAAGUCGAGCGAACAGACGAGGAGCUUGCUCCUCUGACGUUAGCGGCGGACGGGUGAGUAACACGUGGAUAACCUACCUAUAAGACUGAGAUAACUUCGGGAAACCGGAGCUAAUACCGGAUAAUAUAUUGAACCGCAGGGUUCAAUAGUGAAAUACGGUUUUGCUGGCACUUAUAGAUGGAUCCGCGCCGCAUUAGGUAGUUGGUAAGGUAACGGCUUACCAAGGGGACGAUGCGUAGCCGACCUGAGAGGGUGAUCGGCCACCCUGGAACUGAGACACGGUCCAGACUCCUACGGGAGGCAGCAGUAGGGAAUCUUCCGCAGAGGGCGAGAGCCUGACGGAGCAACGGCGCGUGAGUGAUGAAGGUCUUCGGAUCGUAAAACUCUGUUAUUAGGGAAGAACAAAUGUGUAAGUAACUAUGCACGUCUUGACGGUACCUAAUCAGAAAGCCACGGCUAACUACGUG
rnacentral:rRNA from 1 species